GCAGUAGUGGUUCAGUGGUAGAAUUCUUGCCUUGCAUACAGGAGAUGCAGGUUCAGUUCCUGGCCAAUGUA
rfam:Loxodonta africana unplaced genomic scaffold scaffold_5, whole genome shotgun sequence.